rnacentral:rRNA from 1 species
CCUACGGGAGACAGCAGUGAGGAAUAUUGGUCAAUGGGCGGGAGCCUGAACCAGCCAAGUCGCGUGAGGGAAGACGGUCCUAUGGAUUGUAAACCUCUUUAGUCGGGGAGCAAUGCCGGGCACGCGUGCCCGGAGGGAGAGUACCCGCAGACUAAGCCUCGGCUAACUCCGUGCCAGCAGCCGCGGUAAUACGGAGGAUGCGAGCGUUAUCCGGAUUUAGUGGGUUUAAAGGGUGCGUAGGCGGAUUUUUAAGUCAGCGGUAAAAUGUCCGGGCUCAACCCGGGCCGGCCGUUGAAACUGGGGAUCUUGAGUGGGCGAGAAGUAUGCGGAAUGCGUGGUGUAGCGGUGAAAUGCAUAGAUAUCACGCAGAACUCCGAUUGCGAAGGCAGCAUACCGGCGCCCGACUGACGCUGAGGCACGAAAGCGUGGGGAUCGAACAGGAUUAGAUACCCUUGUAGUC